rnacentral:lncRNA from 1 species
AUGACGAAGGAUGGCCAUGGUUCAUAAUCAGAGUUAAGUAGUCAUUUUCAAAAUUAAACACCAAAGACUGGGCGGCCAUUGGGUUCCACAAUGGCCGCUUUAAGACCUCUACAAGCCGAUGAAAGAAAGUAGUUAAAAUGAUUGAUAUUGCAAAAGAAGAUUAAUGCAAUCAGAAUCCAUUGCAAGGCUGUCGGUGGUAACUCGCAAGCUCAAUGCAUAUCAUUCUAUAAUUUUGUCAAUAAAAGGACUCGAUCAAGGUAGAAAGAAAGUGUGCAUCAAUCCAUCUAGGAGAUGCCACAGAAAUUAAAAUCGGUAGGCCAUUAUGGGUCCAUAUGUAAGGAGUGGGAGCAUGAUUUUUUAAAAAAAUUUGCCUC